CUUGACUUGACCAGUGGGGACUUUGUCAGAAAAUCUCUCUCUUGCAUAAUUCAACACACUAGCUACAACAGUGUCAUGAAACUGGAAAAAAAUGGUUGGAUACUUUCAGGAGGACUACCAAGGGGCUAGUGACUGGCUGGCUACUUUUAGGAGGACUAGUGACUGGUUGGCUACUUUUAGGAGGACUAGUGACUGGUUGGCUACUUUUAGGAGGACUAGUGACUGGUUGGCUACUUUUAGGAGGACUAGUGACUGGUUGGCUACUUUUAGGAGGACUAGUGACUGGUUGGCUACUUUUAGGAGGACUAGUGACUGGUUGGCUACUUUUAGGAGGACUAGUGACUGGUUGGCUACUUUUAGGAGGACUACCAAGGAACUAGUGACUGGUUGGCUACUUUUAGGUGGACUACCAAGGGGCUAGUGACUGGUUGGCUACUUUUAGGUGGACUACCAAGGGGCUAGUGACUGGUUGGCUACUUUUAGGUGGACUACCAAGGGGCUAGUGACUGGUUGGCUACUUUUAGGUGGACUACCAAGGGGCUAGUGACUGGUUGGCUACUUUUAGGAGGACUACCAAGGGGCUAGUGACUGGUUGGCUACUUUUAGGUGGACUACCAAGGGACUAGUGACUGGCUUCUUCAAGGCUGUUACUUCCAUGUCUUAACUCCUACUAUUCUGUAGAUUGACUGCUCUUCUCUGAGGACAAUGUAUGUUACUAACUGCUCUCCUCCUUCCCUCUCCUCCUUCCCUCUCCUCCUUCCCUCUCCUCCUUCCCUCUCCUCCUUCCCUCUCCUCCUUCCCUCUCCUCCCUUCCCUCUCCUCCCUUCCCUCUCCUCCCUUUCCUCUCCUCCCUCCUCCCUUCCUCUCCUCCCUCCUCCCUUCCUCUCCUCCCUCCUCCCUUCCUCUCCUCCCUUCCCCUCCCUCCUCCCCUUCCCGUCCUCUCCUCUCUUCCCCGUCCUCUCCUCUCUUCCCGUCCUCUCCU
rnacentral:lncRNA from 1 species